GACGAACGCUGGCGGCGUGCUUAACACAUGCAAGUCGAACGGAAAGGCCCUGCUUUUGUGGGGUGCUCGAGUGGCGAACGGGUGAGUAACACGUGAGUAACCUGCCCUUGACUUUGGGAUAACUUCAGGAAACUGGGGCUAAUACCGGAUAGGAGCUCCUGCUGCAUGGUGGGGGUUGGAAAGUUUCGGCAGUUGGGGAUGGACUCGCGGCUUAUCAGCUUGUUGGUGGGGUAGUGGCUUACCAAGGCUUUGACGGGUAGCCGGCCUGAGAGGGUGACCGGCCACAUUGGGACUGAGAUACGGCCCAGACUCCUACGGGAGGCAGCAGUGGGGAAUAUUGCACAAUGGGCGGAAGCCUGAUGCAGCAACGCCGCGUGCGGGAUGACGGCCUUCGGGUUGUAAACCGCUUUCGCCUGUGACGAAGCGUGAGUGACGGUAAUGGGUAAAGAAGCACCGGCUAACUACGUG
rnacentral:rRNA from 1 species